UAUUGUGGAAGCAUGUGUUGGUAUCAAGGUACCAUAAGAUCAAAGAAGCUGAAAUGCUGAGCUAACACCUAGGGGACAAUUGCUUAGAAAAUUGUCUGCAGAGAAUUUAGCAUAAAGAGGCUGCAUGAAAAUUGGAGGGUUGUUUUAUUUUUUUUAUCAUGGAAAACCUAAUCUGUCUUGAUUCACACACUAUGUUUGAUGGGUAAAGAAGGUGGAGAAGCUCUAAAUAUUUAUAUGUUAAUAUUCUCACAUGCAUCUUCCCAUUUAAUCAUCAAAACAGCCCUGCAGGUAGGUACUACUUUUAUAGCUGCUUGAUAGACAGGGAGACAAUGGCUCAAAGAAGUGAAGCUUCACAAGGGCCAUCAGCUACUAAGGUGGCAGAGGAGGGUCUUAAACUCAGGUCAGAGUCCAUACACCAGGAUUGCACACCCCAUUGCCUCCGACAGUGUUCAUUCACUCACCAGGCGGGGCACUGAACUUGGUCUCCACCAACAUCUCAAUCUUCCUAAGUCUGGUUAGUAGCAGUUUUGUUCAUCCCAAAUGAUCAUUUUCCUAAUUUAACUGAUUUUAUGGAACUUUUCUGCUGGUUAAGAUGAUGUAAGAAAACUAAUUUAAAGAGCAAUCAACCUGUAGUUAACAAUGCUGUAUUAUACACUGGAAAAAAUGGUAAAAGAGUAGAUCUCAUGUUAAACAUCCUUGCUCCAAUAAAAACCAAAAAACAAGAUGAAUUGACUUUCUUGCCAAUAUAAAGAGAUAUUCAAAUGCACAUGUGCAUAUUAUCAUAGUCCAACUUCUCUGUCAAGUACCAAAUAGACACAACAUUUAUUCCAGUUGUUUAUACUGUAUAUUAUUUUUAUUUCCAGAAUGACCUUGUGUGACCGCCUUAUUCAUGGAUUAAAUACAUUCCAGUAGUGUACACAUAACUAAUCUAUGGAAGGCAUGUAAAAUGAGAUUAGUUCAUGCAAAGUGGAGCGCAUUUCAUUUCAGUUCCCCUUCCAAGCUGAUUGGUUUAGCAGAAAUUUUCAUUUGUCCAAACUAUUCCAGUGAUCUAUUCUGCUGACUUCUCUCUCUGUUGCCUUUAGAAGUAGUCACGUUUCCAUUCAAACUAUUCCAACUCUUGUAGUAACCGCACUUCACAAAGCUUUAUGUAACAUCAAGUUCUUGUCCUGAAAAUAAAAGUCUGGUUACAUUCCUUGUGAAUGCCUUCCUUCAUCUGGGUGGAAUUGAAACUUUUCUGUUUUAUCAGUUCAGAUAACCACCAGGUCACACAGAGGCCACAAAGGAAUCAACAGAAAUGCUUGCUGCUCAACACUUUGCUGGCUUCAGCCACUGCCUUUAGAAAGUCAAUAGAAUGUAUUUUCCUGACAUAAGCUACCUACUUUUUAAAUUUCCCUAUGCCUUUCAUACUCAAGAAGCUGUGAUUCAAAAACUAAAUGAAAUUUCCCUGUUUAUGUUAAAAGUCUACUCCAGAUAUUUUCAGUGACUAUUUUGUCUUUUUAAAGUGUAUGGAUUUCAGAUACAGAUAGAUAGGAUUCUAGUCCAUGACCUCUGGUCUCUCAACUUGCUAUUGCUUUUAAUAAAAAUUAGAGCAGUUGGCUCUGUAGCAGUCAGAUUUGAUUGUAGUUCCUGAUAAAGUAAGCCUUUAUCCAUUUAAAUCCUACUUUAAAGGACAUCAGGACAACCAACCUGAAUUUUUAAAAACUAUUAAUGUUCUGAAUGUUCUUACAAAGUAAGAAAAAGAAACAUGUUCCAAAUUUUUCUGACAUAGUAUUAAAGUUGUACUUCAAUAUAAAGCCUUGAGUGGUAUUUGAAGACAUCUGAUUAAAUGCUUACUGGCUUAGGAGUGCUGAGCAUGAAAUUAAAAGUCAGCAGAAAGUAACAAUGAUGACUACCUACUACUAAAGGAAAUGUAAGUGGCUUUACCCUACAGCCCUGCACCAACCUUUUCCUAGUUGUGCAUUUCCACAGAUAUGGAUUCAGCUUUAUUCCUUCGUUAAGUAAAAUAAGUAAGGAUGAUGGCGGUCAGUUGCCUCUAAAAAGGUAAAGCAUUCCUUCCAAAUCCAUAUGAUACCAUGUCUAUGUCCUAGUUUUACCUAUGCUACCAUAGAAAAGACCUAAAACCGAGUGUGGAAUAUUUUGGUCCUAGAAGCCUAGCAAAAACGACUUGUACAUACUUCAUAACAAAAGUUAUGUACUUAUCUCAUCAAUAGGUUAUAAUAUUGGUGUUGCUUAUCAUCUCAAAGAUCCCAAAGAGUCAUGUUUAUAAGAAAGACAAUAAAUCAUAUGAUAUCUGCCAUUCACAAAAAUAAAAUUAUACUUAAUAUAAUGUUAGCAAGGGCUCUUAAUAGGGAAUUUUUUAAAAUUCAGACUUUGAUAUAUGUUUUGGUACGUGAUUGCUGGAUAAAAACUAUUCCAACACAGUUAUUUAAAGCAAAAACAAAUGGAAUAGGAGAAAGUAUUUGUAAACCUUGUAUCUGAUGAGGGGUUAGUAUCCAAAAUAUGUAAGGUACUCAUGUAACUAGAUAGCAAGAAAACGAAAACAGUAAUACCUGUGAACUAUUAUUCAGCAAUAGAAAACAGUGAGAUGCUAUCACUUGACACAACAUGGAUGAACCUAGAGGACAUUAUAUUAAGUGACACAGAAAGACAUUGUGUGAUGUCGCUUAUAUGUAGAAUCUAAAAAAAAAAAUUGAGUUUGUAGCAGCAGAGAGGAGAAUGGUGGUUACAGGGGUUUCAGGGUGGAAGAAAUGGGAAGAUGUUGGUCAAAGGGUACAGAGUUUCAAAUAUGCAGUACGAAUAAGUUCUGGAGAUCUAAUGUAUAACAUAGUGACUAUAAAUAAUACUGUAUUAAAUAAUUCAACUUUUCUAAGAGAGUAGAUCUUUUUUUUAAAAAAUUGAGGUGUUAUUGAUUUACAUUGCUGUAUUUUAGGUGUAUAACAAAGUAAUUUUUUAUUACAUAUAUAUAUAAAGAGUUUAAUAUUUUUUCAGAUUAUUUUCCAUUAUAGGUCAUGACAGGAUAUUGAAUAUAAUUCCUUAUGCUAUACUGUAAAUCCUUUUUGGUUGUCUAUUUUAUAUAUAGUAGUUUAUAUCUGUUAGUU
rnacentral:lncRNA from 1 species